GGUGGCGUCCGGUGGGCCCGCGCCACUUCGGGUGGCGCCCUUACAGCAACGUGUGGUGGCGCCGUCGUUCGUUCGACCGCCGCUGCC
rnacentral:tRNA from 2 species